CCUACGGGUGGCUGCAGUAAGGAAUAUUGGUCAAUGGAGGAAACUCUGAACCAGCCAUCCCGCGUGAAGGAUGAAGGGGCUCUGCCUUGUAAACUUCUUUUGUCUGGGGCGAAAAAGCUCGAUUUAUCGAGAACUGACGGUACCAGAAGAAUAAGCACCGGCUAACUCCUUGCCAGCCGCCGCGGUAAUACGGAGGGUGCAAGCGUUAUCCGGAAUCACUGGGUUUUAGGCGGCUUAAUACGUCUGUGGAGAAAGGCUGUGGCUUAACCAUGGAAUUGCCAUUGAUACUGCAGAGCUUGAAUGAGGUUGAGGUUGGCGGAAUGUGACAUGUAGCGGUGAAAUGCUUAGAUAUGUCAUGGAACACCGAUUGCGAAGGCAGCUGACUGGACCGAUAUUGACGCUGAGGCACGAGAGCGUGGGGAGCGAACAGGAUUAGAUACCCCAGUAGUC
rnacentral:rRNA from 1 species